rnacentral:hammerhead_ribozyme from 1 species
AUUCAACUGACUAGUCCCAAAUAAGACGAGACGCGAUUUCUGAAU